rnacentral:misc_RNA from 1 species
AGCGUCAUCCAUAAUCUUACUGCACAAACUCUGAUCCAAUUUCAUGCAAUUACAAAAAUCAAACCACUCCAGAACAGCUCUAUACUUUUUCUGACCUUCUGUGAAUAACCCAGCUAGUGAUCUCAGAGACAUGCAGCCCCGCACAUCUAAAUGUUCCAGUUGAAGUCUCUUGCAAUCUCUUAGAACAAGUACAGCUAACUUAGGAAGUUGUUUGAUACUUGCAGGUAGGAUCUCAAAAUUAUUCCCACUUAAAUGCAACUCUAUCAUUGAUGCUAAAGAGCCCAGGUCAUCGGGAAUUUG